UACGAAAAUUUGAAAUAUGGAAUUAUAUUUAUCAGGCGAAUUAGAUGAAACCCAAAAAAAUAAACGUCCAAUUUAUGUAAAUUUCGAAUACGAUUUCCAAAAUUUCGCCCAAUACGCAAUCAGUUCGUUGUGUUACUGUUUAACCGGAACUGCUUAUAUUUAUUUCGAUCAAAGUGAAUCAUCAACGCCCAUCGUGCUAACAAUCGUAACUUCAGUAUUUGUUUGUUUGCCUAUUUAUUACAUGGAACUUUUUUUGGGGAGAUACACUCAAAAUAGUAUUUUACAUUUAAAGUAUAUGGUACCGGUUGCAAGAGGACUACCUUAUAUUACUAUACUUGUUACAAUUUUGUACACGAUAGGAUCUGGGCAUGAUUUAACCGAUACAGUUCUUUACUUGUUAAUGUGCUUCCAAAGGGAGCUACCUUGGGCGGUUUGUCCGAAAAAUACAACGAAAUUUUGCUAUUAUAAAGAAAAACCAAAGAAUUGUACCACCGAUAAAUGCGUACACAGCGCUAUGGCGUAUUGGAAUAAUAUAUUCAUGGAAAACCCCGCUAUUGAUAUGAAAAACGUUCGAUUAGGACUUCCGAUUGUGCACCGAUUCGUAUCAUCUUGUAUUUGUUGGGCUUUCAUUUUUUUAUUAACAGCGACCGCUUAUAAACAACGCCAUAAAUGUUUAAGUGUUAUGUUUUACAUACAUUGCGCUUCAACGCUAAUCCUUUUCGUAGUUGUCCUUAUAAACGUCGGCGCAACUUCCGAAUUACCAACAAUUUUCAGCAUCGGUUCAAAAUAUUAUUUAGACGCUGACCAAUGGGCUGAAGCCUUAACCAAAGGAAUCAAACUUUUCAAAUUAGGCCAUGCCCAUCAUGUUCUUGCAGGAGCUAGAUUACCAAGUGAUGCUCCAAUUGGUUUAUGGUGCGUUUAUUUUUGGAUGAUUUUAAUGACUUUGGCGAUGUUUUGUACUAUGUUUGUCACGGCUAUUAUUGGGGUGCAAAAAUAUAGUACUGGGGGAGAUGUUGAUGCUAUGAAUUCUUUGCAUUUAUUUUUUGUUGUUAAAAUACCCGGAGGAUUAACGUAUACAGGAGCAUCACAUGCUUGGUCGGCUCUUUAUUUCUUCACGAUAGGAACGCUAAACGCAACUAAUAUAGUCUCAAGAAUAAUAACCCUUCAAUUAAACAUAACCAAUUUUAAACCAACCCUUCAAAAAUACAAAGUAUAUUUUUUAGUUGGUUAUUGCUUGCUUUACGCGAUAACAAGUACCGCUUUGUUAUCCGAAGAUCAUUACGCGCUUUCAAGGAUUAUCCUCGAUUCAAGCACAUCAGUUUCUGAGAUAGCCACAACAACGAUUCUUGUAAUCACCGUUUGUUGGGUUUAUGGGAUUCGAACGAUCGGGGAUGAUAUCUUGUUUUUAACCGAUCAUAAACCAAUUAAAUUUUGGGUCAUCUCCUGGUACAUUUGUCCCAUUGUUUUAAUAAUACUUUUCGUUUUUAAAGUGUUCCAAAUGAUGGAGCAUCACUUGUAUUUGCUGAUGGUUAUUUCGGGGUUUAUCGUUUUAUUGCCGAUUUUGGCUUUCGCCGGGCAUCAAGUGUUCUUGUACGUCCGUAAACGGCGCUUAUUGGGGUUAAUCGAACCGGAGUUUGAAUGGGGGAUGCCGGAUCUUGAUGAAAGAUAUCGCAGAAGAAGCUUUAACCCCCGCUUAGAGACGAAAUUCGAUUGCAAUAAAAGAGUUUGUGGUCAUAAGUGCAUCAAAAACAGUGCGUGUUUAAGAACGGUCGUUUAUUACGAAAAUAAGAACAGAUUUGCUUUGUUUGAAGCCGGAGAAGAUAAACUUCAAGAGAUUAUAUCGAAUUACACCGAGAAUUUCGAUCAACAAUCGGUGUAUUCUAAAUAAAUAAAUAUGAUUUGGGGAUAAUCAAAAUUGACGUUUUUGAUGGUGUCAGGUUGAAAGAUUAUUUUUCUAAUCCAACCAUGUUUAAUGAAUAACGUAGAAUUAGAGAUGAAAUUGCUCCGUUUUAUUUUUAUUUUAAUAUGCUUGAGUUGUUUGAUUCAAGCGAGGAAAAAAAGUCUUCAAAAGAAAAUGGUCGAUUAUAAACAUAAAAGAUUUAAAAGAUUCCUUGGUGGAUCAAAAACCACAACAAAUUCCACCACUACGACUGCGUUAUCACCAACAUUAAAUACUAAAGCAACUAAAUUUACUGGCAAUAAUAAUUUUUCGAAAUUAAUGACUCAAUUACAAUCAGAAUCGUUUAAUAAUGGAGCUUCUUCCCCCGCUGCUAAAGACCAAGGAAAAUUGUACCUAGCUUUGCAGCCUUAUAACAAACCCCUCGAAGCUAAUUCAAAUGGAUUGUCUUCUCCGUCUGUAUUACCGCUUUAUUAUACAUUACCAACAACGCGAACUUCAUCGGAAUCCUCAAAACAUGAAAAUACUUGGCCGUUAUUUCAGUUUCAAGGCAACGAAGGCGGUGGAGUAUCGUUAAAAAUGUUUUAUGAUCGUAAUGUAAUAAUGCCAUUGAUCAAAAUAUUGAGGAUGAUAUGCUUAUAUCACAUAAUUUAGAUCCUUCAGUAAAAUAUACCAGCAUGACAGCUCCAAACGUAG
rnacentral:misc_RNA from 1 species